UGCCUCGUAGUGUAACCAGCAGCGCGCCGGUCUCUGACACCGGAGGUCCUGGGGCGGAACCAGGCGAGGCAGCCA
rnacentral:tRNA from 1 species